rnacentral:rRNA from 1 species
GACGAACGCUGGCGGCGUGCUUAACACAUGCAAGUCGAACGAAGAGCGAUGGAAGCUUGCUUCUAUCAAUCUUAGUGGCGAACGGGUGAGUAACGCGUAAUCAACCUGCCCUUCAGAGGGGGACAACAGUUGGAAACGACUGCUAAUACCGCAUACGAUCUGACCUCGGCAUCGAGGAUAGAUGAAAGGUGGCCUCUAUUUAUAAGCUAUCACUGAAGGAGGGGAUUGCGUCUGAUUAGCUAGUUGGAGGGGUAACGGCCCACCAAGGCGAUGAUCAGUAGCCGGUCUGAGAGGAUGAACGGCCACAUUGGGACUGAGACACGGCCCAGACUCCUACGGGAGGCAGCAGUGGGGAAUCUUCCGCAAUGGACGAAAGUCUGACGGAGCAACGCCGCGUGAGGGAUGACGGCCUUCGGGUUGUAAAGCUCUGUUAAUCGGGACGAAAGGCCUUCUUGCGAAUAGUUAGAAGGAUUGACGGUACCGGAAGAGAAAGCCACGGCUAACUACGUG